GGAAGCCUACGGGGGGCAGCAGUGAGGAAUAUUGGUCAAUGGCCGGAAGGCUGAACCAGCCAAGCCGCGUGAAGGACGAAGGUGCCAAGCAUUGUAAACUUCUUUUGUCAAGGGACAAAAUCAGGCUCGAGAGCCUGACCGAGGGUACUUGAAGAAAAAGCAUCGGCUAACUCCGUGCCAGCAGCCGCGGUAAUACGGAGGAUGCGAGCGUUAUCCGGAUUUAUUGGGUUUAAAGGGUGCGUAGACGGGAAAUUAAGUUAGUUGUGAAAUCCCUCGGCUCAACUGAGGAACUGCAACUAAAACUG
rnacentral:rRNA from 1 species